rnacentral:sRNA from 1 species
CAAAAGAACUUAGUUUUUGUAAAAAAAAAAAUAAAACUGAACUCCGAAAUUGAUAAAGACAACCCAAAUUCGCUGUUUAAUGUUCGAGUGCUGUAUUUGUGCAAAAAUAAACCAGGAAUCGUCAUUGAAAAAAGCAAAAUCUCAAAAAAAAACAUCCAAACAAUGGUAGAAGGGGGAAUCAUCAUCGGCGAGGGCAAUGAGGAAUGGACUCAGGACGAAAAGACAAACAGCCAAAAUGGGCCAAUGUGCGAAGCAGAUCUUUGCAUUGGGCAGACAAACAAACAAACAAACAAAUCUCAUCUGAGCAUAACCACAAGCGAAACCAAAUCCACCAUAUAAUGUGAGGGAUUAAAAAUGGCUUAGCCGAAUUCAUUAUACCCUUCAAUGCGUUCGAUGAUGAUGAUGAUGAUGAUGUUUGAUUGAUGGCAGAAAAUCAUGAGAAAUUUUAAUGCCAUAUUUUAUUGCCAAUGGGAAAAAUUCUUUGCAUGUGGACUAAUAUUUGCGGAACCGAAGAUCUAUUAGAGAAUAUCAAUAGCAUAUCAGCUUUA